AUGGCAUAAGAUGGGCAUGCGUCUGAUUAGCUGGUUGGUGAGGUAACGGCUCACCAAGGCGACGAUCAGUAGGGGUUCUGAGAGGAUUAUCCCCCACACUGGUACUGAGACACGGACCAG
rnacentral:rRNA from 1 species